rnacentral:lncRNA from 1 species
UCUGUACGUCUGGUCGAAUGCAUCCGUUAUCGAACGUAUAGUUUCACGGUCUUCGUUAUUUCUUGCAGAUUUUUGCCGCCGAAAUUCGCGAAGGAGAGCAAUUCUAAUAAUUCGAGAAAGUUUACUCGUUGCUUGUCAUUUACAGGCAAAAAUCUGGAACUAAACAGAUUCGAAACAAAAGUUGGCCUAUUCCCGGUUUACUGCCGCAACGAAACGCGAAUCAGACACGAGGCGAAAGGUCGAUGCUCUUGGGCUGCAGCGGUAGCGGAUUCGCGGCCAAGGUUUCCUAUUUCACGGUGGAACGCCUGGCUACCUCACAUAACAUGUGACCUCAGGAAUACAUCCUUGAUGGAAUAGCUGAAAACAUGAGCGAACGGGAUAUUUUAUCAAAGACGGUGAAACAUACAUGCAGUACAGGAAACAGAUAGGCAGCCCACGUAGCAGCUUGGCCCCAAAUCAGAAAUACAAGACUGUCUACCGUACAACUACAGAAGCAACCAUCAUAUGGGCCAAGUGAAUGAAUAUGUAUAAAUAAUUGACGAUAUACACAUGAUCAUAAUAAUUAUUUAAUACGAUCUGGAUUAUAAGAAGUCCCCAUAAAAUUGUAGAGCGUUUAUCAUAAAAAUGAAGAUAUCAGUGAAAUUGAAUUUAUAAUAAGCAUCAUAAUGUCCUAAUAUGUAUUUCUGACCGUUAAUUUAUUAUUAAACAUCAAACA